UACGGGAGGCAGCAGUGGGGAAUAUUGCACAAUGGGGGAAACCCUGAUGCAGCGACGCCGCGUGAGCGAAGAAGUAUUUCGGUAUGUAAAGCUCUAUCAGCAGGGAAGAACAUGACGGUACCUGACUAAGAAGCCCCGGCUAACUACGUGCCAGCAGCCGCGGUAAUACGUAGGGGGCAAGCGUUAUCCGGAUUUACUGGGUGUAAAGGGAGCGUAGACGGCUCUGCAAGUCUGGAGUGAAAACCCGGGGCUCAACCCUGGGACUGCUUUGGAAACUGUGGAGCUUGAGUACCGGAGGGGUAAGCGGAAUUCCUAGUGUAGCGGUGAAAUGCGUAGAUAUUAGGAGGAACACCAGUGGCGAAGGCGGCUUACUGGACGGUAACUGACGUUGAGGCUCGAAAGCGUGGG
rnacentral:rRNA from 1 species